AUUGAACGCUGGUGGCAUGCUUUACACAUGCAAGUCGAGCGGCAGCGCGGGGGCAACCCUGGCGGCGAGCGGCGAACGGGUGAGUAAUGCAUCGGAACGUACCCUGGAGUGGGGGAUAACGCCGCGAAAGCGGCGCUAAUACCGCAUAUGCUCUGAGGAGGAAAGUGGGGGACCGCAAGGCCUCACGCUCUGGGAGCGGCCGAUGUCCGAUUAGCUAGUUGGUGGGGUAAAGGCUUACCAAGGCGACGAUCGGUAGCUGGUCUGAGAGGAUGUUCAGCCACACUGGGACUGAGACACGGCCCAGACUCCUACGGGGGGCAGCAUUGGGGAAUUUUGGACAAUGGGGGCAACCCUGAUCCAGCCCUGCGGCGUGAGUGAAGAAGGCCUUCGGGUUGUAAAGCUCUUUUGGUCGGGAAGAAGGCGCCUUGCCUAAUACGCGAGGUGGUUGACGGUACCGGCAGAAUAAGCACCGGCUAACUACGUGCCAGCAGCCGCCGUAACAC
rnacentral:rRNA from 1 species